UCUCCGUUGGUGAACCAGCGGAGGGAUCAUUAUCAGAGUUUUACAACUCCCAACCCUUCUGUGAAUCUACCUAUCGUUGCUUCGGCGGACCCGCCCCAGCGAUCGGACGGCCCCGCGCCGGUCCGCGCCCUGGACCUAGGCUGUCGCCGGCGACCACACAAUCCUGUAUCCAUUAGUCUCUCUGAAUACGCCGCAAGGCUAAACAAACGCAUCAAAACUUUCAACAAUGGAUCUCUUGGUCCCGGCACUGAUGAACAAUGCAGCCGCUCGGAAGAGCAC
rnacentral:misc_RNA from 1 species